CAAAAACCGUUACUGGCAAGCAGUAAUCUCCGUCUCUCGCUGCAGUUUACACUGUUUUGGGAGGACAGAAAGAAACUCUACAGAACAGAAGUGAAGCUCCAAGAUUUCAACAUUUAUGAAGGGAGAUUCUGACUUAGAAAUACAGCUUGUUUCCUUCUAAUGAACCUGGAACUGCAGAGUAAAUAUUGUUGACUCUGUGUCAGAUUGCUUGUUUUGUUCCUAGACUCUUCAGUGAUGACGAUCAGAGUCUGAGUGAACCUGCUGUCAGACAGGUUGGCCUGAUUGACGAUGCCACCGUCCAUCGCCGAUGGCUGAUAGACAUCACGAUGCUGCGCCGGAAACAGCGUCAUCAGCUCCAGUAUCUCGCCCGUGCAUCUGUUGUCAUGCGACAGAGAAGUCACGUUCUAUAGACAGUUUCUAUAGACAGUUGUGAACGUGCUGACAGCUGGUUGCCCAGGCUACGGAUUAAAGGUAAUACUGUUGGCCAGCAGAGCCCUGCUCACCCUGACGGCCCACCGCUGCUGUCAGACAAUAUCUCCAAGAUGCUAUAAACUGCAGGACCAGUAAGGACAAUCUUGAACAUGCACAACUGUUUCAUAAGUUUGGGAAGGAUGUCAAUCCCAAGGUUUCUAGAGAUUACAGCAGCUCCAGACUGAAUCCAAACUCACUUUUGAAGACUUCAGAUGACGCCAACGCUCACAAAGACUACAGACGACGACAACUGUACAUGAACACACAAGAUCUUAUCCUUAUUUUGCC